rnacentral:rRNA from 1 species
GACGAACGCUGGCGGCGUGCUUAACACAUGCAAGUCGAACGGAAAGGCCCUGCUUUUGUGGGGUGCUCGAGUGGCGAACGGGUGAGUAACACGUGAGUAACCUGCCCUUGACUUUGGGAUAACUUCAGGAAACUGGGGCUAAUACCGGAUAGGAGCUCCUGCUGCAUGGUGGGGGUUGGAAAGUUUCGGCGGUUGGGGAUGGACUCGCGGCUUAUCAGCUUGUUGGUGGGGUAGUGGCUUACCAAGGCUUUGACGGGUAGCCGGCCUGAGAGGGUGACCGGGCAAAUUGGGAAUGAGAUAACGCCCAGACCCCUACGGGGGGGAAGAGGGGGGGAAAUUGGCCAAAGGGGGGGAAGCCGGAGGCGCAACGCCGGGUGGGGGAGGGAGGGCCUUGGGGUGGAAAACGGUUUUCCCUGGGGAGGAGGGGGGGGGAAGGGUAAGGGUAAAGAAAGAACGGGUAAACAAGGG